rnacentral:misc_RNA from 1 species
UGCACGCACGUGACACUUGAGCGACAUUAGCCACGAUCGGUUUGGUGGUGACGUAUCUACUUUUCUUUGUUGUUGCCCCCGGUGUUGUGGUGGUGCUCGUCAUAGAGGCACUCAGAAACAAACUCCUGCACACCCAUAAAGCACACGCACGCACGCACGCACCCAAGGCAUAGAAAUCUGCUGCGUCAUUUUUUUUCACCACAACUGCUUCAUUCUCCAUUUUCGUUCGCGAGUUCUCUAAAACACACAUACAUACGCAAAGGCACGUACACGUCGCACGAGUGGCCUCGACGUACCGUGCCAAUGACCGACAGCUCUUACUCUUACACCGGUUCCUACACCGGCGACUACUCGUACUCGUACUCGUACUCGUACAGCUAUUCAGACGGCACCGGCUCCUAUACCGACAGCACCGCUGAAAAGUCGCAGGGCCGCGUGCCGAGAGCGGCUCCCGCCGCUAAAAACGCACAGAGCAAGAAGACGCCUUCUCCAUCAAAGCCAGAGCCUACGAAAAACGCGGAAUCUGGAGAAAGCUAUGGCUACAGCUACAGCGCCCCCUCUUCGCCGAACGAGGGGACAGCCGGCGCUGCAGUACCAGCUGCGGCCGACAGCGCGAGUAGCCAGAAACGGCCGACGAAUGCAAACGAGGACGAUGAUAGAUCGUAUAGUUACUCCUACACCAAUGAUGACGAAGACUCGUACAGCUAUAGCUACUCCGACAGCGAGACAGGGACCGCCUCACCACCUGCGCUGAGGGCACCCAAGGCGGGGGUGGCAGGUGCAGGGCGACAGCACACCACACCAGCAGCAGGGCGUGCCGAUAGGUCCACAGGCGCCACCCCGCCAGCGGUGACGUCGACUGCCGCAGCUGCCACCAAUGUGGCGUCCACGGGGUCGUACUCGUACUCGGACUCGGACGAUGAGGACGGCUCGUACACCUACAGCUACAGCUACAGCUACAGCGAUGAGGGAGACGACUACACGGACGGCGCAUACGACUACACGGACGGCUCGUACUACUACUCAGACGGCUCGUACUACUACUCAGACGGCUCGUACUACUACACGGAUGGCUCAUACGACUACUCGGACGGCUCGUACUACUACUCGGGCGGCUCCUCCUACUACUCGGACGGCUCAUACUACUAUUCCGACGGCUCGUACUACUACUCAGACACCUAUUCGUAUACCGGAGACAGCAGCUAUUACUACUCGUACUCCUCCUCUGUUGCUUCCGGAGAGCAGAGAGGGAGACGGGCCAAGCCGGGUGCUGAGAUGGCGUCGGGCUCGUCGGACUACUACUACAGCUACAGCGGCGACUACGCAGACUUGUCCGACUCCUACUACUACGGCUCGUCGUACGCCAGCGAAGACAGCUACUACGACUACUUGUAUCCGUCCUACAGCUACUCCUCCUACACGGAUAGUGAAGGCAUUCAUCACCACGCCGUGGACAGAGCGAAGCGGCGCGAAGCAGAGGGGGGCAGCGGCACGUCAUCCUACACGUACAGCGCAACGGGCAAGUCGCCCACCUCUACAUCAUCGUACACCUACGGCAGCUUUGCCGCGUUCCUACUGUCGGAGAGCAGAACGGCUGCGCAGCGGGAACUUCUGGUGCUGCGUGCUCCCGUAAAGGACUUGCCGCACCCGCCGCAGGCGCCGAAUCGCUGCUUUGUUGUCUUCAAAACCACCGAGGACGCGGUGUGGGCGUUCCUCCAGCGGCUUAUGGCGGUGCAGAAACUCUACGAAGCGCGGCGCGUAGCAACUGGUGGCCAGGUUGUCGCACCCGUCUCUUUUAUGAAGUGCGCGAAGUCACCGUCGCUGUGUGCAGCAGGGGUAUUUGGUAUCGAGGCAGCCGAACAAGAGGACACAGUCGCCCCGUUCAUUCCGACAAAGGACGGCUGCUUCAGUGAGCGCUCCAUGCGCAUCGCGUUUCGCGUGCUGCGACUGAACCACCUCGAGCGUCGCGAGGCGCUGAAGAACGCGCCGUUACCGCUGCCGAUGGAGGUUAUGUUAGACAUCUUCAACACCUGUGUGGCAGCGCGAGCGAAAGAGCGUGUGGUGCAGGCUUUUUUGGCACACGAUACUUACCGCAGCGGCGAGAUGUCGCUGACGCAGCUCUGCGCGCUGCUGCGCCGACUCGGCCUCGGCACAAGUCCGAUCAUCGAAGGCCACCGCAUCAGUAUUGGUGUGUCCACGGAAGGCGCCCUGGAGAUGGUGGUAAACGUCGAGCAAGUGUUUCAGGCAGGCGCCCCGGUAGCACCGUCGUCCGCCGAGUCACAGAAGCCGGUGAACUGGGAGGUGACUCCUGUCUACGUCCUACGCAUCAUCCGACAGAGUGCUGCCAGGAAAGAAUCGGCGCCAGUACGCUGGAAGAGCAACACGCUCUACAUGGGACGCCACGUCAUUGUGCGCAACGUCACUACGAAGGCCCUGUUCCAGCGACUCAAGACGUAUAUCGAGGCCGCCACGUACCUUUGCGUGCUCGCCAAGGUGUUCUCUAUCAAGGACGCUGAGAAGGGAACGCUGACAGUACAGUACCCGCAGUUCAUCCGCAGUGUGCUGCUAGCGGAACCUUCCGCGCACUGUCACGCCGGCACCGCUGCGUGGGCGGCGCAGCGCAAGCUGCUGUACAUUGAAAACCUCUUCCGUGCUGUGUUCCGCCCGCAUGGGGUGCUGCGCGCCUACGCAGCCGGCCGGCCCGUUCCUCGCUACCACCGUGACUGGGCCGUGGAGUCGACGCUAUACUCGACAAAAGACACGGAGGAGAAGCGCCGCCGAAACGUGGUGCCCGGCAUCAGCUCCGACAUGCGCCUUAUGCCUGUCCCGUCUUCUCGUCCGGCUGACGAGGUGCAGCUGUCAUUUGUGCUGCAGAAAGUUCGUGUCCCGGCACAGCCGCCGCGAUACGCCCGGUGCUUCUGUCUUGUGAGCGCGGUCACCCCCGCGAACGUGUUCCUGCCGGCUGUCGAGGUGCCGGUGCGUCUCAUUGUCGCGUCCGCAAGGAAGUGCGGGUACUACACGUGGAUGUUUCACGACAAGAAGCACAAGAAGCGCGAAGCAGUCCUGCAGUUUGCUGGGCCGGCGGUGGAUAGAAUCUAUGUGGAGUGCUGCUACGAGACGCACGACAUAUGGCCGCCGGAAAGCAGUGAGGACGCGGCGGCACAGGCAGAGGAGGCAGCGGGUUCGACGGCGCCGUCGUGCACCACCACCGUGUGGUGCGCGGGCUACGCGGUGUUUCCCGUGAAUGGAGCCAGGACGGCGGUGCUGCCGGUCAAAGCAGGGAGUCUGCUGCAGGAGCAGCCGUACUAUUCGACUCUGCUGGGUAGCGGCGUCGCCGCUGGGACCGCAGCAUCCGCGAUGAUGAUGGCGCCUGGGGGCAAUUACGCGAAGCUGCAGAACGACUCCUACUGUUGCGCAUCCAAGUCUAGUCGGUGCGGCCAGCACAAGUACACAGCUGAUAAGGCACAUCAGAUUCAAGUGAAGGUGCUCAAGUCCGAGAAGCCCAUACCCGGUGCAGAGCGGCUUCCGGCGCGGUACAUCGCCUUCCAGCGGCAUGUGCCCAUGAUCUCGCAGCUGCGCUCCGCUGUGGAGCUGGUGGGUAGGGAGACGUCGCACGUUGGGCAAGCCUUCCGCCAGCAAGCGGUCCGCUACAUCUUCUCCGUCGCUGCUGACCCUGCGCUGCUGGAUCAGCUAUGCGGCAUCUGGAAGUACCGAGAGCGGCACUGGAGCAAGGCAGAGCGCAAGAAUGAAGGACACAAGCAGCGCACCCUUCUCUCCUGCGUCGCCGCUCUCUACGCACUCAAGAACUCGUGCGCUGGCAGCAAGGAGAUCUUUGCCAAGUCCCUGGAGAAGGGAAAGCCGUUGCACAUGACCAUCGACCCUGCGGCACCGAUGGUGCCAGUUCGCGUCUAGCCUAAGUCUCUUUAGAGCAAGGAGGAGGAGAGGGACCAGGAGGAGGAGUCGCCGCAGGACAGCGGCUGAGUGCUGUGAUGCUUGCUGCCCUUUAUCACUCUGCCGCUGCCAUUGCACCUGUGUCGUUGCUGGCAUUCCCGUCCUCUUACCGUUGACGGGAGCCGCGCCGCACCUCCACCACGGCGAGACUCGAGACCGGUGGCAAAGGAGAAGCGAGACGAACGCUGCCCCUUAGGUGCGUGCAUCCUGGUCGCCACUCGCCGGUUUUAUCUUUCCCUCCACGCCGAACAUGUCAGGUAAAGCGGCAUGCACAUAUGCAAUAUGCGCCGUGUCGUGUGUGCAGCCAUACAGGCGUGGUACUCUAACAUGGGUAGAAAGGUCUCUGCACACGCACAUAUAUAUAUAUAUACAUACAUGCACACACAGACGAGAAAACCAUAGACAUGCUCUUGCCGCCAUGAAACGGCGAUAAUACGAUGCCGGUUGGCGUGUCUGUUUAGUGCUCACUGCCCCUGUCCUCCCCUCCACCCCAACACUCCCCCUACCCCCGCCGCGUUCUUUAGCUGUAUUUUUCGCACUUCAUGCUGCCUUCGUUUUUCUUUUUUUUUCUGUUGCGCGUGUGCGGUGCCAUCCGUGUGGUCACCCGCUGCGCUAGAUGUGUUCUCUUUCUCCGCAACAGCCUGCCUCCUCGUCUUCCGUGUUUUUGAGCCGUUUCCGUGUCUCCAUCGCAGGUACGCAGCGCUCAUGGGCAUCGUUCUUCUUUUCUCGUCCCCUGUGGUCUCUCUCUCGGACUAUGGUUUGACAGUUGACAUCAAAGGUAACGGGGAAAAGUCCACCGGCUGCAGGACAUACCCAGCACCGCAAGGCG